AUUUAGAGGGAAGUAAAAGUCGUAACAAGGUUUCCGUAGGUGACCUGCGGAAGGAUCAUUA
rnacentral:rRNA from 1 species